rnacentral:rRNA from 1 species
CCUACGGGGGGCUGCAGUGGGGAAUAUUGGACAAUGGGGGCAACCCUGAUCCAGCCAUGCCGCGUGUGUGAAGAAGGCCCUUGGGUUGUAAAGCACUUUCAGUGAGGAAGAACGCCUGGUGGUUAAUACCCAUCAGGAAAGACAUCACUCACAGAAGAAGCACCGGCUAACUCCGUGCCAGCAGCCGCGGUAAUACGGAGGGUGCGAGCGUUAAUCGGAAUUACUGGGCGUAAAGCGCGCGUAGGUGGCUUGAUAAGCCGGUUGUGAAAGCCCCGGGCUCAACCUGGGAACGGCAUCCGGAACUGUCAAGCUAGAGUGCAGGAGAGGAAGGUAGAAUUCCCGGUGUAGCGGUGAAAUGCGUAGAGAUCGGGAGGAAUACCAGUGGCGAAGGCGGCCUUCUGGACUGACACUGACACUGAGGUGCGAAAGCGUGGGUAGCAAACAGGAUUAGAUACCCCGGUAGUC